UUUUAUACUAGGGUAAUGUCUCAAAAUCUGGACAGGCCUGAACGCUACAAAUUUUGGACAACCGAAGAAAUUUUGGUUUAAAAGUCCUAUAUGAUGAGCAAAUAUCGCGAAAACUAUACCAUUAUGAAGAAUUUUUGCCAUUCUAUCUGGGGCUCAAACGAAAGAAUUUUGUUCAUUCUUCACAUUUCAGUACUUCAAACUGCGCCAAAACUGCAAAUUCAUGGAAGAAAUCUAAGUAGAAGCUUGCUGGCGAUAAAUCCCAUUACACAAAAGCUGGACACCCCCCUUUCUAAAUCUGGACAACUGUAGAAGCCACAGGGUGUCGCUAGUUGAGGUGUACGCCACAUUUCUUCGUUCUUUUUAAUUUCAGCUUCUUGACAUCUGAAAGCAAUUAUGUUUAUACUGAUCUCAUUCGUGUCUUAUCUAUACAUUCAAUAAAAUAGACU